rnacentral:lncRNA from 1 species
CCGUAACUGAGGAAGCAGGCAACAGUGCCUAGCUCAGGUGACAAUCUUUAAGCAAAAGAAACACACAAGGGCGUGGAGACCUGGGGAAAAAGCAACACUGAGAAAUCCACCCUCUGAAACUGAGGAAGAUGGGCAACAGAGGCUAGCUCAGGUGGCAAUAGUUAAGCAAAAACAAAACACAAGGGCGUGCAGACCUGGCAAAAAAGCAACCCUGAAAUCCACCCUCUGAAACUGAGGAAGAUGGGCAAGAGAGGCUGGCUCAGGUGGCAAUCUUUAAGCAAAAGAAACACACAAGGGCGUGGAGACCUGGGGAAAAGCAACACGGAGAAAUCCAACCCUCUGAAACUGAGGAACAUGGGCAAGAGAGGCUAGCUCAGGUGGCAAUCGUUAAGCAAAAACAAAACACAAAGGCGUGGAGACCUGGGGAAAAAGCAACCCUGAAAUAUCUACCCUCUGAAACUGAGGAAGAUGGGCAAGAGAGGCUGGCUUCAGGUGGCAAACUUUAAGCAAAAGAAACACACAAGGGCGUGGAGACCUGGGGAAAAAGCAACACGGAGAAAUCCACCCUCUGAAACUGAGGAAGAUGGGCAAGAGAGGCUAGCUCAGGUGGCAAUCGUUAAGCAAAAACAAAACCCAAAGGCGUGGAGACCUGGGGAAAAAGCAACCCUGAAAUAUCUACCCUCUGAAACUGAGGAAGAUGGGCAAGAGAGGCUGGCUUCAGGUGGCAAUCUUUAAGCAAAAGAAACACACAAGGGCGUGGAGACCUGGGGAAAAAGCAACACUGAGAAAUCUACCCUCUGAAACUGACGAAGAUGGGCAACAGAGGCUAGCUCAGGUGGCAAUCGUUAAGCAAAAGAAACACACAAGGGCGUGGAGACCUGGGGAAAAAGCAACACGGAGAAAUCCACCCUCUGAAACUGAGGAAGAUGGGCAAGAGAGGCUAGCUCAGGUGGCAAUCGUUAAGCAAAAACAAAACACAAGGGCGUGCAGACCUGGCAAAAAGCAACAGUGAGAAAUCUACCCUCUGAAACUGACGAAGAUGGGCAACAGAGGCUACCUCAGGUGGCAAUCUUUAAGCAAAAGAAACACACAAGGGCGGGGAGACCUGGGGAAAAAGCAACACGGAGAAAUCUACCCUCUAGAACUGAGGAAGAUGGGCAACAGAGGCUAGCUCAGGUGGCAAUCUUUAAGCAAAAAAAAAAAUAAAAUAAAAAAUACAAUGGCGAGGAGACCCGGUCAAAAAGCAACCCUGAAAAAGGUACCCUCUGAAACUGAGGAAGCAGGGCAACAGUGCCUAGCUCAGGUGACAAUCUUUAAGCAAAAGAAACACACAAGGGCGUGGGGAGCUGGCGAAAAGGCAACACUGAGAAAUCCACCCUCUGAAACGGACGAAGAUGGGCAACAGAGGCUAGCUCAGGUGGCAAUCUUUAAGCAAAAGAAACACACAAGGGCGUGGAGACCUGGGGAAAAAGCAACACGGAGAAAUCCACCCUCUGAAACUGAGGAAGAUGGGCAAGAGAGGCUACCUCAGGUGGCAAUCGUUAAGCAAAAACAAAGCACAAAGGCGUGGAGCCCUGGGGACAAAGCAACCCUGAAAUAUCUACCCUCUGAAACUGAGGAACAUGGGCAAGAGAGGCUAGCUCAGGUGGCAAUCGUUAAGCAAAAACAAAACCCAAAGGCGUGGAGACCUGGGGAAAAAGCAACCCUGAAAUAUCUACCCUCUGAAACUGAGGAAGAUGGGCAAGAGAGGCUGGCUUCAGGUGGCAAUCUUUAAGCAAAAGAAACACACAAGGGCGUGGAGACCUGGGGAAAAAGCAACACUGAGAAAUCCACCCUCUGAAACUGAGGAAGAUGGGAAACAGAGGCUACCUCAGGUGGCAAUCGUUAAGCAAAAGAAACACACAAGGGCGUGGAGACCUGGGGAAAAAGCAACACGGAGAAAUCCACCCUCUGAAACUGAGGAAGAUGGGCAAGAGAGGCUAGCUCAGGUGGCAAUCGUUAAGCAAAAACAAAACCCAAAGGCGUGGAGACCUGGGGAAAAAGCAACCCUGAAAUAUCUACCCUCUGAAACUGAGGAAGAUGGGCAAGAGAGGCUGGCUUCAGGUGGCAAACUUUAAGCAAAAGAAACACACAAGGGCGUGGAGACCUGGGGAAAAAGCAGCACUGAGAAAUCUACCCUCUGAAACUGACGAGGAUGGGCAACAGAGGCUACCUCAGGUGGCAAUCGUUAAGCAAAAGAAACACACAAGGGCGUGGAGACCUGGGGAAAAAGCAACACGGAGAAAUCCACCCUCUGAAACUGACGAACAUGGGCAAAAGAAGCUAGCUCAGGUUGCAACCUUUAAGCAGAAAAAAAAAAAGACGCAAGGGCGUGGAGAGCUGGCGAAAAAGCAACAGGGAGAAAUCCACCCUCUGAAACCGACGAAGAUGGGCAACAGAGGCUAGGUCAGGUGGCAAUCGUUAAGCAAAAACAAAACCCAAAGGCGUGGAGACCUGGGGAAAAAGCAACCCUGAAAUAUCUACCCUCUGAAACUGAGGAAGAUGGGCAAGAGAGGCUGGCUUCAGGUGGCAAACUUUAAGCAAAAGAAACACACAAGGGCGUGGAGAGCUGGCGAAAAAGCAACACUGAGAAAUCUACCCUCUGAAACCGAAGAAGAUGGGCAACAGAGGCUAGCUCAGGUGGCAAUCUUUAAGCAAAAAAAUAAAAAAUAAAAAAAUACAAUGGCGAGGAGACCCGGUCAAAAAGCAACCCUGAAAAAGGUACCCUCUGAAACUGAGGAAGCAGCGCAACAGUGCCUAGCUCAGGUGACAAUCUUUAAGCAAAAAAAAAAAAAAACAAAAAACAAAAAACAAAACCCACAAUGGAGUGGAGACCCGGGGGAAAUCAACACUGAAAAAUACAAAAAGAAUGGAAGACCAAUAGACAGAGCAGGCACUUUCACCUGGGGUGGAGGAGCGGUGCACGUAUUUCCCUUCCAAAAAAGAAGAACGGGAAAGGAGAUGUUAAAGG